GGGGGUGAAUGGUAUCGGUCAAAAGCGAAAUUUGACAAAACGCGGGUUCGAUUCCCGCCACCUCCACAA
rnacentral:tmRNA from 1 species